rnacentral:rRNA from 1 species
UACAGAGGGUGCGAGCGUUGUCCGGAAUUAUUGGGCGUAAAGAGCUUGUAGGCGGUUUGUCGCGUCUGCUGUGAAAUCUCAAGGCUCAACCUUGAGCUUGCAGUGGGUACGGGCAGACUAGAGUGUGGUAGGGGAGACUGGAAUUCCUGGUGUAGCGGUGAAAUGCGCAGAUAUCAGGAGGGACACCGAUGGCGAAGGCAGGUCUCUGGGCCACUACUGACGCUGAGAAGCGAAAGCAUGGGGAGCGAACAGG